rnacentral:rRNA from 1 species
AGAUUGAACGCUGGCGGCAUGCUUUACACAUGCAAGUCGAACGGCAGCACGGGGGGCAACCCUGGUGGCGAGUGGCGAACGGGUGAGUAAUGCAUCGGAACGUAUCCUUGAGUGGGGGAUAACGCAGCGAAAGUUGUGCUAAUACCGCAUAAGCUCUGAGGAGGAAAGCGGGGGACCAAAGGCCUCGCGCUGAAGGAGCGGCCGAUGUCCGAUUAGCUAGUUGGUGAGGUAAAGGCUUACCAAGGCGACGAUCGGUAGCUGGUCUGAGNGGAUGAAUCAGCACNCUGGGACUGAGACACGGCCCAGACUCUACGGGGAGCAGC